rnacentral:rRNA from 1 species
AGUCGAGGGGUAGGGGGUGCUUGCACCCCUGAGACCGGCGCACGGGUGCGGAACGCGUAUGGAACCUGCCCCUGUCAGGGGAAUAGCCCAGGGAAACUUGGAUUAAUGCCCCAUGGUAUCAUUACAUCGCAUGAUGUUGUGAUUAAAGAUUUAUCGGACAGGGAUGGCCAUGCGUACCAUUAGCUUGAUGGUGGGGUAACGGCCCACCAUGGCAACGAUGGUUAGGGGCCCUGAGAGGGGGAUCCCCCACACUGGUACUGAGACACGGACCAGACUCCUACGGGAGGCAGCAGUGAGGAAUAUUGGACAAUGGUCGGAAGACUGAUCCAGCCAUGCCGCGUGCAGGAUGACGGCCCUAUGGGUUGUAAACUGCUUUUAUACGGGAAGAAACCCACCUACGUGUAGGUGGCUGACGGUACCGUAAGAAUAAGGACCGGCUAACUCCGUGCCAGCAGCCGCGGUAAUACGGAGGGUCCGAGCGUUAUCCGGAAUCAUUGGGUUUAAAGGGUCCGUAGGCGGGCCUGUAAGUCAGGGGUGAAAGUUUGUGGCUCAACCAUAAAAUUGCCUUUGAUACUGCAGGUCUUGAGUCAUGGUGGGGUUGCCGGAACAUGUGGUGUAGCGGUGAAAUGCAUAGAUAUCACAUAGAACACCGAUCGCGAAGGCAGGUGAC